UUUAAACCAAAACUCUCUAUCAUGUUCUCCCUUUUUUAUUCUAUUUUUGUUGAAUUCCAUGGUUUUUGUUUCGGUAGAAUUAAGGCUAGAUUUGUUGACACAAAUUUUCAAUGAUUUACAAGCUUAAAGGAGUUGGGAUAAAUGCAAAAUUUUGUUUCCUUUUUGCUUUGCUCAUAGAAUUGAAUGUGAGAGUUAGAAUAGUGUUUUCAUUCUCAGAGGAUAACAGAAAAAAUGCAGGCAAGGGCUAUGAGCCUAGAAAUGAGGGUUAAUCAAAGAUUAUUUAGCAGAAAAAAUGGUGGAAGCGAAGGUUCAUCGUCAAAUCAACUACCUGGGGACAAUCCGGUGUUAUGUCUGUUUUGAUUUUGCAUGCCUAACGAUUUUGGGAUGCUACUAUUUUUAUAACUAUGCAACAAAACAAGCUAAUCUCAUCCAUAUAUUCUAUGAAAAGUGGAGAGUAGAAAUGAAAGCCAAAUUUAGGGCAUGGACGUAUCUUCCCAGCAGUCCACGCAUCUUCAAGCCAAGUUAUUGCAUGCUUUUUUCCUCCAACAUGUAGUGUAUAUCGUUGUUAAGCUCUUGAUCUGCUUCUUCUGUUUGUUCUUGCUUCUCGUCAUUGUGGGUGAUUGCUCCAAGAUUCUUAGGUGAUAUUUUUAUGGCCCAUUAGUAUCUAACAUAACUUUUCACGCUUUAUGAUAUUUUGUGCAAAAUUUAUGCUUGCUAAGCAUAUUGUUUCAAUUUUGGCUUCUUUUUUUUUUUGUUUCUCAAGACACCACUUAGAAAUUAAAAACCAUCUUAAACUUUGCAUCAACUAUGUAAACUUUGUUUUGAGAUUUAGCCUGAUUGGAAGAAACAAGAGGAAGAGGUAGUAACAAUGAAAGGGAGAGAUCGAAAUUGAUAUAGAAUGUAUGCUACUAUUUAUCAACGUGAGAUCAAUGAAAAAUAUGCCGCACCAAAUGGUAGUUUAAGAAGCUUUAGUUACUAUUUAUCCAUUCAGAAUUUAUCGAAUAAUAUGUGUAAUUAUCUUGUGUGAUCAGCAUCAAUCACAUUGAUAUCCUUUUGAAUGGUUAUUAACUUUAUUUUGCAUGAAUCUGACUAGCCUAACCUGUAUACUCGUGAAAAUUUUUGACUGUAUGCUGGUUGUAAUAAUAUUGGCAGGAAGUUGCUGCAAUAGAUUAUACUAACUACUUUACUUGAAAAAGCAAGUUAUGUGUGUAUAUAAAGAUUUAGUAAGAGAUAAAUGCUGUCCGUUGAAUCCCUUUUAGAAGGUAAAUUGAAGAUCGUAUAUACGAAGAAAUUCUUGUAUUAGUUCCAAGGACAUAUAAUUAUAUUUGAAAAUCAGGUUACUUGUUUUAUGCAAUUAUUCUGUCAUACUAAUAUAACAUGCUACGAACUUACAUUAGUUGUUCAAGAUAAUGAAUUAUGACAUAUCAGAACGUAUUGUGCUUUUUGUAUCACUGUUUCAGCAGUUUUGUUUUUCAGCAAUCACCAUCAUGAAAGUUCUACGAUUCUUUUGUUGUUAUUACUUUAUUAUAGAUUUUAGUCCUUCUGAUCUGCCACAUGGAUUUGUAGUUCCUUAUAAGGAUGUUUGAAAUUAACCAUGGAAAAUUGUCACACCCCACAUAGGCCCACACUAGAAGAUGUUUGAAAUGUGUUUUAGUAUUGGUUCAGUCUGGUUGAGUUCGGCUGAGUCAAAGAUCCGUCAAGUCAAAUCUACUAUCUGUAGUUUUCAGUAUUUUUUUGGAUUUUUGUUUAGUAAGUACUUUGGAUAUCAAAAUAUCCAUUAAUAUAAGGAUAACUAUUUUAAGUUGUCAGUGUUACAUAAGUAAACAAUCUUGUAGGUAACGACAAAUCAUUUGGUUGCAAAAGUUCUCGUCUUAAAAAGUCUUUAAACAAGCCCUAAGGGACCUCCGUGUAAUCAGGUUCUGAGCAAUGAAACUGUAAGAUAUGUUAUUAGAUGUGACCAAGGUUAUUUCUUCUCUUCUUUCUCUUUCUCGUCUCCCUAUCUGUCCACCGCUAUCCAACAGUUGCCAUUUUGCACUUGACAUGAAGGUUCAUUUAAAAAAAUAUAGAAAAGUACACAAGAGCACGGUAGAAACCAUACGAUAAAACAUAUAUAAGGUUAUCUCUAUUUUGUAGACGUUUUAACAGGUUAGGCCAAUUGAAAUGUGGCAUGGAAUUGCUCUGACAUUUCCGGUAAUUAUGUGUAUAGCUGUCACGAGUUAAAUAUAUAUCUACUUCUCUACUUUAUCGAUUUGAUUAUAUAGAAGAUUGUUGUCUAGCAUGGGGAGAUAAGGGCCACUUAGACUAGCCAAGGAGAUCGCCUAUGAGACCACACGCAGCUUUCGAAGUUAACAAAGGCUUCAAAGAGGUCGCAGGCAAGUCAUCCUUGGCUAUCAAAGAUUAGCUCUUAUCACCACGCAAGACUUCUCUUCUUCUCUCGGCGUGCUAACUUGUUUGCUGGAUUCAACAUGAAUAUAUAGUGAGGAGGGAAAGACAAGGAGAAUACCAACCUUGUUACAAAAGUGCCGGAAGCUUGAUCAGGUAGCGCGGAAUCGAAGAUUUUCUCCAAGAAUAUUUGUAUAGAAGAUAUAAAUUUAUAAAGCUUCGGAAGGGGUCGAUAUUUUCACAUUUUCUUGAAGAACCUCGAUAAAGAGGAUGAUGAAAGUAAAAAUGUAGGGAUCAUGUGGAAAAAUCCGCACUUUGAAUUCGAUGAACAGAUAAAAUUUGCGCUCAAAUGUUUUUUUUUUUUUUCUUUUCUCUUUUAUUUUGUAGCUCAAUGCUGUAACUGUUGUUUAAUAUACAUUUUCACUAAACCACACAAGUGUAGCCCAUUCAAGUUGAUGAAUCAUGAUUUACGAACAAGGUGAUUUCAGAGCUUGUA